rnacentral:rRNA from 1 species
AGAGUUUGAUCCUGGCUCAGGACGAACGCUGGCGGCGUGCUUAACACAUGCAAGUCGAGCGGACGGAGGAACUUCGGUUCCGAAGUUAGCGGCGGACGGGUGAGUAACGCGUGAACAAUCUGUCCCAGACAGGGGGAUAACACAUCGAAAGGUGUGCUAAUACCGCAUAAGACCACGGUGCCGCAUGGCACAGGGGUAAAAGAACGGAAUCGGUUUGGGGUGAGUUCGCGUCUGAUUAGCUAGUUGGUGAGGUAACGGCCCACCAAGGCGACGAUCAGUAGCCGAUCUGACAGGAUGACCGGCCACAUUGGAACUGAGAGACGGUCCAAACUCCUACGGGAGGCAGCAGUGGGGAAUAUUGGGCCAUGGGCGCAAGCCUGACCCAACAACGCCGCGUGAGGGAAGAAGGUUUUCGGAUUGUAAACCUCUGUCCUAAGGGAAGAAAGGAAUGACGGUACCUUAGGAGGAAGCCCCGGCUAACUACGUGCCAGCAGCCGGGGUAAUACGUACGGGGCGAGCGUUGUCCGGAAUGACUGUGCGUAAAGGGCGUGUACGCGGCCCGUUAACUUAAGAGUGAAAGUCCACCUCUCAAGGUUGGAAAUGGUAUUAAUACUGAUGGGCUUGAGUGCAGAAGAGGUAAGUGAAUUUCCCAGUGUAGCGGUGAAAUGCGUAGAGAUGGAGGGAACACCAGUGGCGAAGGCGACUUACUGGGCUGUAACUGACGCUGAGGCGCGAAAGCGUGGGGAGCGAACAGGAUUAGAUACCCUGGUAGUCCACGCGGUAAACGAUGAAUGCUAGGUGUAGGGGGUAUCGACCCCUCCUGUGCCGGAGUAAACACAAUAAGCAUUCCGCCUGGGGAGUACGGCCGCAAGGUUGAAACUCAAAGGAAUUGACGGGGGCCCGCACAAGCAGCGGAGCAUGUGGUUUAAUUCGAAGCAACGCGAAGAACCUUACCAGGUCUUGACAUCGAUCUAAGCCCUAAGAGAUUAGAGGUGCCUUCGGGCAAGAGAAGACAGGUGGUGCAUGGUUGUCGUCAGCUCGUGUCGUGAGAUGUUGGGUUAAGUCCCGCAACGAGCGCAACCCUUAUCUUCAGUUACUAGCGCGCGAUGGCGAGGACUCUGGAGAGACUGCCGGGGACAACUCGGAGGAAGGUGGGGACGACGUUAAAUCAUCAUGCCCCUUAUGACCUGGGCUACACACGUGCUACAAUGGUGUUGAACAAAGAGGAGCGAGCCUGUGAAGGUAAGCGGAUCUCAAAAAAGACAUCUCAGUUCGGACUGUGGGCUGCAACCCGCCCACACGAAGUUGGAGUUGCUAGUAAUCGCGAAUCAGAAUGUCGCGGUGAAUACGUUCCCGGGCCUGUACACACCGCCCGUCAAGGGCGAUUCGCGGCCGGUAAAUUCAUUCGCC